rnacentral:rRNA from 1 species
CAGCAGCCGCGGGAAUACGAAGGGUGCAAGCGUUACUCGGAAUUACUGGGCGUAAAGCGUGCGUAGGUGGUUGUUUAAGUCUGCUGUGAAAGCCCUGGGCUCAACCUGGGAAUUGCAGUGGAUACUGGGCGACUAGAGUAAGGUAGGGGAUAGUGGAAUUUCCGGUGUAGCAGUGAAAUGCGUAGAGAUCGGAAGGAACAUCUGUGGCGAAGGCGACUAUCUGGGCCAUUACUGACACUGAGGCACGAAAGCGUGGGGAGCAAACAGGAUUAGAUACCCCAGUAGUCCCUGUCUCUUAUAC